GGAGUCCACACAUGAUGACCAGCCAUUGAUGUUCACCUGAAGGGAAUUCCCAGAGCUGAGGCUGUGAGUGUCGUAGUUUGAUUUGAUUUAGUUUGUUUGUAUAUUAUUUAUUUGGCAUUAGUUUUGUAGUCUGAUGAUAGUUGGGUGUGUUAAAAUGAGUACAGUAUUUCACUCUAUAUAUUUUUUUUGUAGGUGGACUGUUUGGGGGGGAUUUCACACCUCAAACAUUUAGUAAACAAUUAGGGCAAAUACAAGUAAACGGCAAUAAAUUACAGGUAGUAAUAAAAUAUACUACUAACUCUUUUACGCUACGUCCACACCUACACGGGUAUUUUUGAAAACGCAGCUGUUUCUAUGCGUUUGGGCCUUUCGUCAACACGUAAACGGUGUUGCGAUUCACCGAAAACAGAGAUUAUUUAAAACUCCUUUUUUAAGUUUAUGUGUGGACGAGGAAUACAGAGUUCGUCACGCAACGUCAAAGUUUUUCCCCUGUAGCUGUGCACCCCUGAUCUUCCCAGCACAGUCACGGAAAUCUCUCAAUCUGUAUCUCCAUACCUGCAUAAUGUCAGUGGAAAGAAGAGGAGACAGCAGCAGGAGAAGAUAUUCUGCAGGAUCCUGCUGCUCAUCAUCCUCACCUCAUGUGUCUCUGGAUCAUUUGUAGUCAAUGUGACACAGACCUCCUAUCAGGCAGAGGAGAACCACAACAUCACACUGGAGUGGACGUUCACCACCAAACCUGACAGAUCCUCCAAAACUCUCAACAUCCUCUGUGAACUCUUCAUCAGUCAUAAAUCCUCAGUCCUGUAUCAUGUUCAUGAAGGUGUUGAGGUGUCAGAGUCUCAGGAUGCAAAGUUUUCAGGACGAGUCCAGAGUGACAAAGACGCCCUCAGAGAAGGACGAAUCAGACUUCAACUGUCCAGACUCAGGACUGAUGACUCGGGUCUGUACCUGUGUGAGGUCAACACUGAUUAUGGCUUCAGUGUUGGAAGAUGUCGACUUAACGUCACUGCUGUUAGAGAUUGUCCUCAACCUGAGACAUCAAACACAGAAAGUCAAGGAAGGAUCGGAGUUUACUGUGGACUGAUAGCAGCCUUGCUGCUUCUCUGCUGCUUUUCAUUCAUUUACUGCCUGCACAAAAAGGAAGAUUAGUUCUGCAGCAAAAUGUACAGCUCAGCAAAUGAAUCACCAAAAAUAAUUAGAUCAGCAGUGAAAAUGAUAAUACUGGAGUUUAGUUUAAUAACACAGUGCCACAAAAUAAUAGUGUAAUAAUUUAAUUUUACAGGCUUAGGUAUUCAUUGCCACUCGGGCGGUUAAUUUCUUCAUGCCUAAAUUCAACAACCUGCAUGUGUAUAACUCAGGAGCUAGGCAUACAAAGAAAUUCUUGCACACGUCAGUGUCUGCAUUGCGCCUGCUGUUGGAGUUUUACGCUCGCAAUAGAAUCUUGUUUACUCUAAUCAACAGACUUUUGACUGUCUGGAGGGCAGAGCCCAAAGAAACAACACUGUUCUUUUGUUUUUUAAACACUCUGGUAUUGACAAGAACCAUAUGAUUUUCCCAACAAAUAAAACAAUAUGAACAGUAGAAUUUACAUGUCAACACAAAAAUGUUCAGUUAUGCAUGAACUAGAGUAUAAUAAUCACUUUCAUCUUAAAAAAGAAUAUUUAAUAAAUGACUGACAUUUUCCUGCUUUUUAGCUACUCUUCACCAGCACCACUAAUUUCUGAAUGGGCCUUUGAAUGAUGGAUGUUUGGAUGAGGAGUUUGCCUCAUUUUCCUAACUUCCAUUCUCCAAUCUGCAUUGUCACCUUCCGUAUGAGCCUGUCUUCAUCGUCAUGUGCUUCAACAACUCUGGCAAGUUUCCAUUCAUUCAGGGAAAUCCUCCUCUUUGAAGAUCACAAUAUCACCCCCCUCCACGUUAUGUCCUGCCACAUGCCAUUGCUGUCUCAGAACGAUGUUUGCCACAUAUUCCUUCCUCUAUCUGUGCCAAGAUUGCAGAUAUUGGACCCUUCUCCACCAUUUUUAGCAUACAGAUCCUUCUUGACAAAUUUACCUGGAGGGGAAAAUGGAAAAGAGGAUUUCCUGGUGAUCAAGUGAUUGGUGUGAAUGGCUCCAAACUUUUGGAGUCACCGAUGUUAUUGACAAUGAGUGGGAGGUUAUUCCUAAUGGAGAGAGCUUCAUAAAGGAAAGUCUUUAAAGAGCACCUUCAAGAAUGACUGGGGCUAGAAAUGCUAAAAGGUCAUAGGAGGAAGCCACAACUGCAAGAAUCCCUCAGCGUGUCUCUGACACCUUGAAGCAGAAGCUACCAUUUUCACUGUUCCACAUUAUACCUAGCACUUUUUGGACUGGUAAAUCAUUAUGGUUAAGGUCAACAUUUUUGUUGUAACAGUGGAUCAUCGAUGUACUUCCACCUUCAUCUCCGUUGACACAGCAUGAUCGUGAGAAUGUACUUUC
ensembl:lncRNA